AGAGAGAGAGAGAGAGAGAGAGAGACGUUGAGAGAUCGAGAUGGGCAGCGACCAAGAGAGGAGUACAGAGGGAGGUUCGGAUCAAAAGAAAGGAAACGGAGAGAGCUAGAGACUGUGAUGGAAGCUCGAAGCAGAGAGGGAGAAUAGCUUGAGGAACGAAGGAAGAAACAGAGAGAGAGAGGGGUUGAAGAGAGAGUGGGCACCAGAGCUUGAGGUUGAGCUCGAGGAUGAGGGAGGAGGAUGGGGGAAGACGGAGAACUGCUCUGAGAUAUGAGAAAAGGUUCAAGGAAGAUGGGAGCAAAGCCUAACAGCUAGUUGACUCAGGUGUGAGGAACUAGGGAACCCAAUUUAGUUGUGGGUAUCUUUAGGGACCGAGGAGAUUGAAUCUCGGCAUUUGAAAGGCUCGAUUCGAUGGACUAUAUCUUGGAGUUCGCCAUGGGACUGCUGAUCCGGCGGUAUAUAAAAAGGGACUCCUAGAUCGCUGAUCCGGCGGGAUAUAAAAAAGGACGCCUAGAUCACUGAUCCGACGGUAUAUAAAAAGGGACUCCUAGACUGUUGAUCCGGCGGGAUACAAAAAGGGACGCCUAGACCACUGAUUCGGCGGGAUAUAAAAAGGGACGCUUAAACCGUUGAUCCGACGGGAUAUAAAAUGGACGUCUAGAUUACUGUUGUCGGAGGAUAAUGGGCAGCCCUCGCUUAUGAGAAAUGAAAUGAGGAAUUUGUGGAUAUGAAUGCGGUGUCACGGUAUCGUCGAAAAUCUGUUACGAAGAUUGCAACCUUAUGGCUACUAUUAUUUGUUCCUUAAGAAUGAUUGCUUGAGUUAUAUAAUAUUGAUUUGGCUAAUAGGAGAAAGGUUCAAGGCUGAAAAGUAGGUAUACAUAUAUCAUUAGAAAUUUUGAAGUAAAUGAUAUGACUGUAAUUGUUGAUGUGAGUGUAUACACAAGUUUAAUACUUCAUUUUAUUGUGAAA